rnacentral:rRNA from 1 species
AGUGAACGCUGGCGGUAGGCCUAACACAUGCAAGUCGAACGGCAGCACAGUAAGAGCUUGCUCUUACGGGUGGCGAGUGGCGGACGGGUGAGGAAUACAUCGGAAUCUACUUUUUCGUGGGGGAUAACGUAGGGAAACUUACGCUAAUACCGCAUACGACCUACGGGUGAAAGCAGGGGAUCUUCGGACCUUGCGCGAUUGAAUGAGCCGAUGUCGGAUUAGCUAGUUGGCAGGGUAAAGGCCCACCAAGGCGACGAUCCGUAGCUGGUCUGAGAGGAUGAUCAGCCACACUGGAACUGAGACACGGUCCAGACUCCUACGGGAGGCAGCAGUGGGGAAUAUUGGACAAUGGGCGCAAGCCUGAUCCAGCCAUACCGCGUGGGUGAAGAAGGCCUUCUGGUUGUAAAGCCCUUUUGUUGGGAAAGAAAAGCAGCAGGUUAAUACCCCGCUGUUCUGACGGUACCCAAAGAAUAAGCACCGGCUAACUUCGUG